rnacentral:rRNA from 1 species
AGCAGCCGCGGUAAUUCCAGCUCCAAUAGCGUAUAUUAAAGUUGUUGCAGUUAAAAAGCUCGUAGUUGAAUUUCGAGAUCAGUACGCUGGUCGUGCCUUCGGUAUGCACUGGUGUCACUGGUUUCUCCCUUCUGAAGAACCGUUAUGUCAUUAAGUUGGUGUGGCGGGAAUCAGGACUGUUACUUUGAAAAAAUUAGAGUGUUUAAAGCAGGCUCGACGCUUGAAUACAUUAGCAUGGAAUAAUGAAAUAGGACGUUUGACCCUAUUUUGUUGGUUUCUAGGAUCGACGUAAUGAUUAAUAGGGAUAGUUGGGGGCAUUAGUAUUCAAUUGUCAGAGGUGAAAUUCUUGGAUUUAUUGAAGACUAACUACUGCGAAAGCAUUUGCCAAGGAUGUUUUCAUUAAUCAAGAACGAAAGUUAGGGGAUCGAAGACGAUCAGAUACCGUCGUAGUCUUAACCAUAAACCUAUGCCGACUAGGAAUCAGACGAUGUUAAUUUUUUAAUGUACUCG